rnacentral:misc_RNA from 1 species
GAUGAAGAACGUAGCGAAAUGCGAUACUUGGUGUGAAUUGCAGAAUCCCGUGAACCAUCGAGUCUUUGAACGCAAGUUGCGCCUCAAGCCAUUAGGUUGAGGGCACGUCUGCCUGGGCGUCACAUAUCGUUGCCUGAUGCCAGUUUCCUCGUGAUGGGUGACUGUGCAGGGCGAAUGAUGGCUUCCCGUGAGCAUUGUUGCCUCAUGGUUGGUUGAAAAUUGAGUCCUUGGUAGGGAGCGCCGUGAUAGAUGGUGAUUGAGUGACGAACGAGACCCAAUCAUGUGAGACCCCUACCGAAUUUGGCCUUCAUGACCCACAUGCGUCUUUGGAACGCUCAUGACGAGACCUCAGGUCAGGCGGGGCUACCCGCUGAGUUUAAGCAUAUCAAUAAGCGGAGGA